AAGAAACAGAGUCUCACUCUUGCCCAGGCUGUAGCACAGUGGUGCCAUCGUAGCUCACUGCAGCCUGAACUCCUGGACUUAAGCAAUCCUCCCACCUCAGCCUCCUAAGUAGCAGGGACUAUAGGCACAUGCCACCAUGCCAAGCUAAUUUUUAAUUUUUAAAAUUUUUUGUACAGAUGGGGUCUCAUUGUGUUGCUCAGGCUGGUCUGCAAUUCUUGAGCUUAAGCAAUACUCCCACCUCUGCCUCCCAAAGUGCUGAGAUUACAGGUGUGAGCCACUGUGCAGGCCUGAUUUUUUAAUAUUGAACCAACCUUGCAUUUCUGGAAGAAGUCCAACUUGCUUAUGAGAUAUCAUCCUUUUUAUAUAUUGCUAAAUUUGAUUUGCCCAGUUUUUAAGGAUUUUUGCGUGUUGAUUCAUGAGGGAUAUUGGUGUGGUAUUUUCUUUGUUUGUUAGUUUGUUUCGGUAAUGUCUUUGUCAGCCUCAUUUUGGCUUCAUAAAAUUAGUUUGGAAGUGUUCCCUUCUCUUUGUUUUCUGUGUUUUCAUAAGGUUGAUGUUGUUUCUUCCUUAAAUGUUUGAUAGAAUCCACCAAGAAAACCGUCUGGACCUAGAAUUUUCUACUAGGAAAGGUGAUUGUUUGUUUUUAAUCACAAAUUCAAUUUAAUGUAUAGAAAGAGUUAUUCAGGUUUUUUUACUUCCCCUUGUCUUACUUUUGGUAAGUUGUACUUUGAAGGAAUUUGUCCCUUUCAGGUAAGUUGUUGAAUUUACUCAUUUAAAGUUGUUCGUAAUACAAGCAUACCUAGGGUUUGCUUCCAGACCUCGGCAAUAAAGCAAAUAUUGCAAUAAAGCACGUCACACAAACUUUUUGGUUUCCCAGUACAUAUAAAAGUUAUGCGUGAGCCACUGCACCUGGCCGGCAGUUUCUUAACUGAAGUUUUUGACAUGGGUUGACUCUUUCUUUCAUGAAAGAUUUUUCUGUGGCACGCAUUAUGUUUGAUAGCAUCUUACCCACAAUAGAGCUUCCUUCAAAAUUAGAGUCAAUUCUUUCAACCCUGGCCACGGAUUGAUCAAAUAAGUUGAUGUAAUAUUCUAAAUCUUUUGUUGUCAUUUCAACAAUGUUCACAGCAUCUUCGCCUGGAGUAGAUCCCAUCUCCAGGAACCACUUUGUCUGCUCAUCCAUAAGAAGCAACUCCUCAUCUGUUCAAGUUUGAUCAUGGGAUUGCAGCAAUCCAGUCCCAUCUCCAGGCUCCACUUCUAAUUCUAGUUCUCUGCUAUUUCCACCACAUCUGCAGUGACUUCCUCUGCUGAAGUCUUAAACCGCUCAUCCAUGAGGGUUGGAAUCAACUUCUUCCAAACUCCUGUUAAUGUUGAUAUUUCAACCUCUUCUUGUGAAUCACAAGUGUUCUUAAUGGCAUCUAGAAUGGGGAAUCCUUUCCAGAAGGUUUUCAAUUUACUUUGCCCAGAUCCAUUAGAGGAAUCACUAACUAUGGCAGAUACUGCUUUAUAAAAUAUAUUUCUUAAAUAAUAAGACUUGAAAAUCAAAUUUAUCCCUUCUCCAUGGGCUGCAGAAUGGGUGUUACAUUAGCAGGCAUGAAAACAACAUUCAUCUUUACAUACAUCUCCGUCAGAGCUCUUGGGUCACAAGGUGCAUUGUCAAUGAGCAAUAAUAUUUUGAAAGGAUUCUUUUUUCCUGAGCAGUAGGUCUCAAUGAUUUUUUUUUUUUUUUGAUGGAGUCUCGCUGUGUCACCCAGAAUGGAAUGCGGUGGCAUGAUCUCGGCUCAUUGUAACCUCUGCCUCCCGGGUUCAAGUGAUUCUUGUGCCUCAGCCUCCUGAGUAGUUGGGAUUACAGGCACACACCACCAUGCUUGGCUAGUUUUUGUAUUUUUUGUAGAAACAGGGUUUCACCAUGUUGGCCAGGCUGGUCUCGAACUCCUGACCUCAGGUGAUCCACCUGCCUCAGCCUCUCAAAGCAUUGGGACUACAGGCAUGAGCCACUGCACCGGGCCCUAUUUGUUUUUUUUUUGUUGUUGUUUUUUAAUUGAGACAGAGUCUCGCUUUGUUGCCUAGACUGGAGUGCAGCAGCGCUAUCUCAGCUCACCGCAGCCUCCGCCUCCCAGGUUCAAGUGAUUCUCCUGCCUCAGCCUCCUGAGUAGCUGGGACUGCAGGUGUGCACUACCAUGCCUGGCUAAUUUUUGUAUUUUUAAUAGAGAUGAGGUUUCACCACCAUGUUGGCCAGGCUGGUCUUGAACUCCUGAACUCAGGUGAUUUGCCUGCCUUGGCCUCCCAAAAUGCUGGGAUUACAGCUGUGAGCCACCGUGCUUGGCCCUUUUUUGUUUUUUUGUUUUUUUUCAAAUUGAGACAGAGUCUCCCUCUGUUGCCCAGGCUGGAGUACAGUGGCACGAUCUCGGCUCACUGCAACCUCCGCCUCCUGGGCUCAAGCGGUUCUCCUGCCUCAGCCUCCCAAGUAGCUGGAAUUACAGGCGUGUGACACCAUGCCUGAAUAAUUUUUGUAUUUUUAGUAGAGAUGCGGUUUCACCAUGUUGGCCAGGCUGGUCUCGAACUCCUGACCUCAAGUGAUCCCCCCGCCCCAGCCUUCAAAAGUGCUGGGAUUACAGGCGUGAGUUGCCGCACCAGGCCUCAAUGGGUUUUUAAUAUUCAGUAAACCAUGCUGUAAACAGAUGUGCUGUCAAGUAGGGCCUGUUAUUCCAUUUCUGAAGCAUAGACAGAAUAGAUUUGGCAGAAUUCUUAAGGGCCCUAGGAUUUUUGGAACGGUCAAUGAGUAUUGGCUUUAACUUACGGUCAACAGCUGCGUUAGCCUCUCAUGAGAGUCAGCCUGUCCUUUGAAGCUUUAAAGACAGGCAUUGACUUCUCCCCUCUAGCUAUGAAAAUCCUAGAUGACAUCUUCUUCCAGUAGAAGGUGGGACAUCUAUGCUGAAAUUCUGUUGCUUAGUGUAGCCACCUUCAUCAGUGCUCUGAGCUAGAUCUUCUGGGUAACUUGCUGCCGCUUCUCCAUCAGCACCUGCUGCUUCACCUUGCACUUUUACAUUAUAGAGAUGGCUUCUUUCCUUAAACUUCAUGACCUGACCUCUGCUAGCCUCAAACUUUCCUUCUCCAGCUUCCUCACUUCUCUUAGCCUUCAUACCAUUGAAGAGAGUUAGGGCUUUGCCCUGGAUUAGGCUUUUGUUUAAGGGAAUGUUGUGGCUGAUUUGAUCUUCUAUCCAGACCACUCAAACUUUCUUCAUAUCAGCAUUAAGGCUGUUUUGCUUUCUUCUUCUUCAUGUGUGCACUGGAAUCGCACUUUUAAUUUCUUUCAAUAACUUUUUCUUGGCAUUCACAACUUGGCUAGCUAUUUGGCAUAAGAGAUCUCACUUUUGCCUGUCUUGGCUUUCGACACGCCUUCCUCACUCAGCUUAAUCAUUUCUAGCUUUUGAUUUAAAGUGAGAGACGGGUGACUCUUCCUUUCACUUGAACACUUAGAGGCCAUUGUAGGGUUAUUAAUUGGCCUAAUUUCAAUAUUGUUGAGUCUCAGGGAAUAGGGAUGCCUGAGCAGAGGGAGAGAGAGCGGGGAACAGCCAGUCAGUGGAGCAGUCAGAACAUACAACGUUUAUUGAAUAAGUUCACUGUCUUAUCUGGAUGUGGCUCGUCAUGCCCCAAAAACAACUGCAAUAAUGGCAUUGAAGAUCACUGAUCACUGGGCGCGGUGGCCCAUGCCUGUAAUCCCAGCACUUUGGGAGGCCGAGGCAGGUGGAUCACCUGAGGUCAGGAGUUUGAGACCAGCCUGGCCAACAUGGUGAAACCUCGUCUCUACUAAAAAUACCAAAAUUAGCCAGGCGUGGUGGCGGGUGCCUGUAGUCCCAG
rnacentral:lncRNA from 1 species